AAGAAAAAAAAAACAAAUAUUGUAGACAAUUGACAAACUUUUUAUGAGAUUUUGCGAACAGAAACGAUGUGUAAUUCUUGAUCUUUCUCUUCCAGGCAUUACGUACAUGUUAGUAAAGAGUCUGCUUCAUAGCUCAAAAAUUUUUUACUAGGAAUUGACGACGCCUUUUCAAAAACUCCAUUGAAAACGUUGGAAAAAAUCUAGUAUCUCUUAUAUCUCUGCGAAAAGCCCUUCAACAGCCAAGGGCUGAAAGUCUCUUAAAUAAAGACAAAUCAAUCAAAGCACUACAGAAAUCUGUCCAGAGUUCUGCCAAAAAUUUGACGCUGUUCUCGUCAAGAUAGUUUAAAAAAAAAAUGUGCAUUUGUAGCUGCUCAGUAUUUCGUCGUAAAUUCGAAGUGCUCAUAGAACAUAUAUGCACGCAGUGGAAUAAAUUGUAAGCACAAUUAAAUUCUAGUUCAAAUCAACCAUCUUUUCAGUUUACUAUAGCGACAAACUGAUUUCCAGUUAAAACUAAACUGUUCCAUUGUUUGAUAAUACAAUUUUUUUCAUUUGACGAAAUUGUUGACAGUUUGUUAGAACAAACAGAGAUUUGGUAGUUUCAACAUAAAGUAAUGGAUUGUUUUAAACGACGACUGCACUUUUGCAACUAACAAAGCCGAAGAUUGUGUUGGUGACGACAGCUGCUGCUUACUUACCUUACCAAUCAGGCUAAGGCCAGGGCGGCCUCUGCUGUACAUAGUAGCCUCCUCCAUUCCACUCGGUUCAUGGCAGUUUGUCUCCAGUUCCGCACUCUGCGUAGGGUCCGCAGAUCGUCCUCCAAUUGGUCGACCCACCUAGAUCGCUGCGCUCCACGUCUUCUUGUACCGGUCGGAUGACUCUCGAGAACCAUUUUAGUCGGGUUGCUAUCCGACAUCCUGAUGACGUGACCCGCCCACCGUAGCCUCCCGAUUUUCGCGGUAUGGACGAUGGUUGAUUCUCUUAGCAGCUGAUGCAGCUCGUGGUUCAUCCGCCUUCUCCAAGUCCCGUCUUCCAUAUGCACUCCGCCGUAGAUGGUACGCAACACCUUCCGUUCGAAAACUCAAAGGGUGCGUUGGUUCUCUGCACGUAGGGUCCAUGAUUCGUACCCAUAGAGGACGACCGGUCUAAUCAGCGUUUUGUAGAUAGUUAACUUCGUGUUACGGCGAACUUUAUUCGAUCGUAGAGUUUUGCGGAGUCCAAAGUAAGCACGAUUUCUUACCACAAUGCGCCUCUUAUUCUCUCUUUUGGUGUCGUUGUCGGCGGUCACCAGUGAGCCCAAGUACACGAAUUCUUCGACCGCCUCGAUGAUGAACGUCGAUAUAAAUUCGGGGUGGCGGGCGCGGUGAUUCCUCCCUGGAGCCCUUUGCCAUAAUGUACUUUGUAUUCGACACAUUAAUGACUAAUCCGAUUCGCCUGGCUUCACUCUUUAGUCGGAUGUACGUUUCCGCCAUCGUCUCAAAUUUACGAGCAAUAAUCAUUGGCGUAGCUAGGGGGGGUUCCAGGGGUGCCUGGCACCCCCUAGAACAAAUUUGGCACCCCCUAGAAUUUUUCCUUGACAGUCACCUAAAAUUUAAAACUUCACACAAUAAUUCCUAUAUUCAUUAAUGGCACAUUUGAACAAAACUUACCACUCCCGGAAUUACUUUCGAAGAAGGAAAAAUAACACUAGUUUACAAAAUAAAACGAAAGUCGUGAACUUCUGUCAACGACCAAAAUUUUUGAAGUAUAAUUUAGCGCUGAUUUCAAAACCGUGCUUCAAAAAUUUUAAAAUAGAACAGUUUUUGAGUUUUAGCUCAAUAUCGUGUUUUACAACUUUUUAAAAUAUAGAAUUUAAUAAAAUUCAAAUAUCUUGCGUUCUGUUCAACCAAUUUUAAAUCUUUUUCCAUAAAUUGAAAGCUGAAUAUAAUACCAUUCGAUCAUCUGAAUGCAGGUUUUGCGUCAGAUUGAUGAAAAUCAAGAUAUUGGCGAGUUUUGGGGACGAUCUCCUUAAAUUUUAGCAAAAUUUCCAAAAAUUUAUGAAGAAAUGUAUUUUUUUCAAUAAGAAAACAACAAUUUAAAAAUUCUUUCUCAACGUUUAUUUGACAUAUCAUAUGUCGGGCAUGAUUCUACACCAAAAACGAUCAUCAGCUUACCGAGUUCAAAAAUGCUGUAAACUAGUGUAAUCGUUGCUUUUUUGGGAGAUCUAAGAGUUCUAGACAGCCAAAGUUGAGCAAUUUGUAUGGAAAUUUCACUUUUUUGUACUCCGUCCCGAAAAGGAUAUACCUGUUGUACCGUUUGGCGUUUUGGAUAUUGGUAAGAACAAUCAACAUACUUCUCCAUGGAUGCCUCCAGAAAUAUUUCUAUCUAUUCAUACAGUGAUUUCUCUAGGUUUUCUUUAUGGAUUCCUCCCAAUAUUUCAUCAAUAAACUUUCCUUAGGAUUCUCCAAGCAGUUCUAAUGGGGUUGUACAUACUAGAAAUUUCUGCAGAGAUUGAUCCAGCAAUUUUUCCUAGGAUUUCUUUGGAAAUUCUUACUAUGAUACUUCUCGGAAUUCUUCUAUGGGUUCCUCUAAAAACUUCUAUUGGGAUUCCUUCAGGAAUUCCUGGUGAGUUUAUUCAAGACUAUCUCCCUGGGAUCCGUUCAAAAGUUCCGCCGGUGAUUCUUCCAGGAAUUCCUUAAGAGAUUUUAUUCAUAGAUUGUUCCAAAAAUUGCUCAUGGAUUCCUCCAGUAAUUGUGGCUAAGAUUCCUAAAGCAACUCCUGCUGUGAUUCUUCCAGCAGUUUCUCUUAGAACUUCAACAAAAAUUCUCACUGUGGUAUCUUCAGGAAUUCUACUUGGGAAGUUCUUUCGGAAAAUCUCCCUGGGAUUUUUCUGAAGAUCCCUUCGGUGAUUCUCCCAGAGAUUUCUUCAGGGAUUUUUCCAGGACUUCCUCCAGAGGUUCUUCCAAAAAUUCCACAGGGGAUUUCUCCAUGAAUUUCAGCUGGAAUUCUUCAAGCAAUUUCCAUCAGGACUCUUUCAGAAAUACUUCUAGGGAUUUCUCAUGGCAUACAUACAUACAUACUGUAAUACUUUCGGAAAAUCUUCCGGAGAUUCUUCCAGAAAUUCCUCCUGCGAUUCCUCCAGUAUACUUCUUCCGAUUCUUUCUAGCAGAACUGUAGGUAUUCCUCUAGGCAACUUCUCGUAGGAUACCCCUAGCAUUCCUGAUUCUAGGAUUUCUCUAGAAAUUACUUCUAUGAUACCUCGCGGAAUUCUAGGAAUUCCUCCCGAUAUUACAGCUGGGAUUUGUCAAGGAAUUCCUGCGGUUCUUCCAGCUACUCAUCCUCCAGAAAUUCUAACUGUCGUACUUCUGAAAUUAUGCUACGGAUACUCCUAGAGAUUUCUCCUAGAUUUUUUGCUGAGAUCUUUCCAGGACAUCUUCCUGAAAUUCUUGCAGAAACUCCUUUGGUUGUUCUCCAAGGACUCAUCCAGGAAUUCCUCCAGAGAUUUUAUCCAAAGAUCCUCCAGAAAUUUCUCAUGGAAUUCUUGCAGAAACUCCUUUUGGUCUUCCUCCGACAACUCUUCCUGCGGUUCUUCCAGCAAUUCCUUCGGAAAUUCUUACUAUGGUACAUUCAAAAAUUCUUCUAGUGAUUCCCAUACCAAUUUAUCUUAGCAUUAUGGCUGGAAUUCUUCUGGGAAAUCUACCUGAGAUUUCUUCAGAGAUUCCUUCUGCGAUUUCUUCAGGGCCAUCUCUGUAGGUUGUUCCAGAAUACCUCUACCGGUUCUUGCAGGGACUUCUCUAGGUAUUCCAAGGAUUUUUCUUUGGAUUCCCCCAGGCAUUACUGAUGGGGUUUCUCUAGAAAUUAUUGUAAAGCUUCCUCCAGCAAUUCCUCCAAGGAUGUCAGCUGAGAUUUCUACCAUGAUACAUCCCAGAAUCUCUCUAAGAAUAUCUCCGGUGAUUCCUUCAGGAAUUUUUAUCCAAGAUAUUUUAUCGAAGGUUUCUUUCAUAGAUUUUUCCAGGAAUUUAUCUUGACCUUCCUACAGAAAUUUCAGCUGAAUUUCUCAAGCUAUUCCUGCUGUGGUUCUUUCAGCAAUUCCUCCUAGGACUCCUCCAGAAAUUCUACUUAAUGCGUUCCGAAAUUUUUCUAGGGAUCCUUCCAAGAAUUGCUCCAGGGAUUCCUUCACAAAUUUGCUGGGAAAAUUCAAGGCAAUCUUUCCUUGGUUUCAUCCUAGACAUCCUAAAGGGUUUUUUUCCUGGGAUUUCUUCAAAUAUUUCUCAUUGGUUUCCUUCAGAAACUUCUCUUGACUUUUAUCCAGGAAUUCCUCUUGGGAUUCUAUAAGCGAUUUCUGCUGCUUUGUUUCAGGAAUGCCUCCUAGGUCUCCUCCAGCAGUUCUCCUGGCAUUCUUGCUGGAGUUCUUCUAGGCAAUUUUCCUAGGAUACUUCCAGAAAUGCCUUCGAUUCUUCUAGGGAUUUUUGUAAAGACUCAUCCAGGAAUUCCCCCAGAGUUUUUAUACACGGAUUACUCUAGAAAUUAAUCAUGGUAUUACUCCUGGAACUCAUCUUGGCCUUCUUCAAGGAAUUCCAGCUGAAGGAGUCCCCAAGAAUUUCCAGAGAAAUCCUAGGAGGUAUUACUAGAGAAAUCUCUAGUGAAAUCCUAUAGGAAUGUACGGAAAAACUUGUUAUUAAUUAGAAUUGACAAAUUAAGAGAGAAAGUUGUGAAAAAAAAUCUCGUUCUUUUGGGAUUCUAACCCACGACUCCGUAUUCGCUAGACCGCAGUAUGGCCAUACCUUUAAGGGAUGCCGAAGGAAAAGGUUGUUUUUUUUUAUUUCUGCGGUAGUAUCAUUGGAAUUCAAUCAGCAUUUUUUCUAUAAUUUCAAUCGCUAUUCCCCUGACAUUAUUUCAGCAAUUUCUUUUUAGUUAUUUUGCCAAUUUCUUCGACAAUUUUAUCGUGACUACUUUUGUAUUUUUUUAUGAUUUAAUUGUAUACAUAUUGUUUGUGCAAAGAAGUAUAUGUGUGAGUGUAUGUCUCUACCCCAUGAUGUAUAUUAUGUAAGACAAAUAAAUCAGUUGGCUUGUGUCCAUUGCAAUGGAAAGAUGAUACCGUGUUCCGCCUAAUUAAUAUCCUAUCACGAUGGGUCAUUUAUCCGCCCUUACGCGAACACAUAUUUAUUACUUCCGAAACUUGCUGAACCACAAAUGCAGAAAUUGUCAACUGGGCUUGCUCAAAGGAAAUCCUAUGAAAUUCACGAAAAACUUCCUGACAAAUUUCCUAAGAAAUUUGCUGGAAAAAUUUCCAUCAAAACUACCUUAGAACUUUCGAAGUGAUUGUGAAAUGAAUUCAUAUAAGAAUUACCAGAGGAGUUGCUGAAGAAAAUAUCAAGGCUUUUUUUUUAAAAAAAAGUUGCCAAAUCCAAUAUCAUAAUAAAUUGCCGAAAUAUAUUUUAUAACAAUUUCCACAAACAUUCGCAAAAAAAAUCGAAGAAAUUGUCAAAGAAUUUUCCGAAAUCAUCAAAGGAAUUUCUGAAGAAAAUUUAGAAAGAAUUCCAAAAGUAAUUGCCGGAGAAUCACUAUGAUAGAGUUUUUAAAGAACCGCCAAAGAUUUUUUAAAUAAAUUGCCGAAGGAAAUCUCUAAGAAAUUUGACGAAUCAAUUUCCAAAAGAAUUACCGAAGAAGUAAUAAUCGCGGUUUCCAAAAUUUCCAAAGAAAUUGCUGAUGGAAUUGCCGAAUAAAUUUUCAAUGAAAGUAACAUCGGAAUUGUCGAAGGUAUUCCGAAAUCAUCUGCUGCAGGAAUUCUUCACAUCAUUACUGAAGAAAUCUAGAAGAAAUUUUCUUAAUCAUUUUCAUUGAAAUUAUAGAAGUGAUUUAUAAAAGCAUUUCCGAAAGAGUUUUCGAAGAAAUUUGCAAAGGAAUACCGAAUAGCAUAGAUAAUAAAAGUCCAAAAAAUCAACAAAAAUCCCAAAACAAGUAGAAUGUCUUGCCGAAGACAUCUUCAGAAAAAAAAUGUAACAAGUUCCAGCGAAUAAGUCAUUGUCGAAUGAAUUAUCAAAGCUUUCUUUUUGAAAGCAAAUAUCAAUAGAAUUGCUGACAUUAACAACUAAAAUUGGUGACUUCUAAAAUAUUGGCGAAGGAGCUCCCGAAAAUACAUUUCAAAGAAUUUUCCAAUGAAAUAAAGAAGCCAAAUAAACUGCUAAUGGAAUUACCGAUGAAAUUUUCAAAGAAUGCGUGUAGGUGUUUGGUAUCAAAUUCCAAACAUAUUACCAAAUAAAUUCAUUAAAAAAUGCUGAAGGGGAUCCAAAGAUAUUACCGAAGAAAUUUGCCAAAUCCAAUUAUUAAGAGAUUUCCAAAGGAAGUCUAAAUUGAAAUAAAUUGCAAAACAAUUUACAAAAUAAUUGCCGGAAAUAUUCCCUGAGGAAUUACCGAAAGAAUGUUUUGCCGAAAACACCUUUUUUUUGUAUUAUGUACAAACCAGACUCGAUUGUCCGAAAUGUACGAAACUGAAAUUUUGACUGAUUAUUACAGUGUUGGAUUUACGUAAGUCAAAAUUUCUACUUUAUACAGCAUUCCGUUCACCAGAUAUAUUAUCAAUCCAGUCGAAAUCGGAAUUCGGUGUGAGCAUCAGAAUACCGAAGAGAAAAAAUCGUAGUUCGAUCGCACCAAAUUUCGGGCUGGAUUAAUAAUAUGUCCGUGAAGCUUCUGAAUGGAACUCAGGAUAUUCGAGUCCAAAUAUUGUAAUUUCAAGAAUCAUACUCAUAAUGUCUUUGUAAAAGUAUUUUCAUGUCCACGUGGUAGUGUUCAACUAAUGAAACAAAACCCUGUCACCAUUAAUGUCGGGGUCAAACCAUGUGUAUGCAAUUUUAAGUAUUUAUAAUUCUUUCAAGUGUUCUUGCAAACUAUUUUUACAAGGGUUGUUAUCAUGCACUAAAACAAAGAUGAUGUCACGAUGAAUACAAGUUACACACAAAUAAUGCAUUUUAUGAGACGUUUCAAAUCAGCUGUUUUUUUAAUGUUUACCGGUUUUGAAGUCCAGCCGGUGGGCCCAUUUAUUUACAUUUUCGUUAGCAUAACAUGUGAUAUAGGCCCAUCCAAUAAACCAGGUUCAUUUAUCUGCAAAAAUGCGUCAAUCCGCCCACUAUAAUUAAUAUCCUUAGACCGUGGGGAUGUUUUUUUUUCAUCUGCUAGUGACAUCAUGCAGCUCGGGGUAUUGAUACAUGCCUCAUUAGAAACCAAAACAUCUCUGCCAGCAAAAAUCUGAUUGGCGCUCACCACAUGUUAUGCUACUUUUCGCGAAAACAAAAACAUCAAAUGUAAACAAUAACAAUGACCGGCCCACCGGUAGAACGUCUCGUAAAAUAGCUUAUUUGCGGAUAUUAUAGUUUCUGAGAUUUACACUUCACAAAGAUGUCGUCGCAAUGAUUGUUAAAUUCAAACUGAAAAUAAAAAUUCCAUUUAUUAUAGGCAUUCAAGUUAUCAAGUUUUCAAAUCUCACAUGGCGGGGAAAGUGUUGAAUCAGUACAAUCUUUCGGAUUUUCCAAAAAACGUGUUCUUUAAAAUAUAGCACGUUUAAAUUUGCGGACUAUUUUUUCCCGCGACGCAGUUUAUCAUUAUACUAAGAAAUUGAGGGUGGAUCGGUAUUUCCUUUUACAAAAAAAACCAAAACAACCUGGAAGCCACUGAAACUGGCACCCCCUAGG